UUUCUCUCUGACCUUCCAAUUCAAAGCCCAAAGAAAUGAAACCUCCAAAACUCUCUCCCUUCAGGCUCUCUUCCCUCCUCCGCCUUCAAAAGGACCCCAACCUCGCUCUCCAACUCUUCCAAAGCCCGAACCCUAACUCUAAUCCUAAGAAGCCCUUCCGCUACUCCCUCCUUUCCUACGACCUCAUCAUCACCAAGCUCGGCCGCGCCAAGAUGUUCGACGAAAUGGAGCAAAUCCUCCACCAACUAAAACAGGAAACCCGCUUUGCUCCCGGCGAGAUCAUCUUCUGCAAUGUCAUCUCCUUCUAUGGCCGCGCCAAACUCCCCGACUGUGCUUUACAGACAUUUGAUCGAAUACCUGGUUUCCGUUGCAAGCGGACCGUGAAGUCGAUCAAUUCACUGUUGGAUGCGCUCUUCAAAUGUGGAGAAUUUGAGAAAAUGAGGGAAAUUCUUCAGGGUAUUGAUAAAUAUGGAACCCCAGAUGCGUGUACGUAUAAUAUAUUGAUUAGUUCUUGUUAUAGGAGUGGGAAUUUGGACGAUGCAUGGAACGUGUUUGAUGAAAUGAAAAGAAGGGGUGUUUCUCCAAAUGUGGUGACAUUCGGGACUUUGAUUUAUCAGCUUUGUUUGAAUUAUAGGUUGAAAGAUGCUUUAAAGUUGAAAGAGGAUAUGGUGAGAGUUUAUGGUCUUAAGCCUAAUGCGUUUGUGUAUGCAUCAUUGGUUAGAGGGCUUUGUGGGAUUGGUGAGGUGAGUUUGGCUUUUAGGCUUAAGGAGGAGAUGUUGAGAAGUAAGUUGAAAAUGGAUUCGGCGGUGUAUUCUACUUUGAUUAGUGCACUUUUUAAGGUUGGGAGGAAAGAAGAGGCUUUUGGGGUUUUCGAGGAAAUGAAAGAGAUUGGGUACAAGCCUGAUACAGUGACUUACAAUGCGAUUAUCAAUGGGUUUUGCAAUGAGAAGGACUUUGAAGCGGCGUUUAGAAUUUUGGAUGAGAUGGUGGAGAAGGGGUCUAAGCCGGAUAUUAUUAGCUACAAUGUAAUAAUUGGUGGGUUGUGUAAGGAAGGGAAAUGGAGUGAAGCGAGAGAUUUGUUUGAAGAAUUGCCGAGACGUGGGUGUCCUCCUGAUGUGGUGUCAUACCGGACACUUUUUGAUGGGCUUACUAAUUUGAUGCAGUUUAAGGAAGCAGCAUUUAUUUUAGAUGAGAUGAUCUUCAAAGGUUUUGCGCCACGUCAGGCAAGUAUAAAUAAACUUGUUGACAGGUUAUGUCACGAAGGUAAUUUGGGGUUGUUAUCGGUUGUUCUGGAUAGUCUGGGAAAAGGAAAUGUUAUUGAUGCAGAUGCAUGGAGGAUGGUGGUUUUCAUGGUGUGCAAAAAAGACAAGCUGUUAGAUUCCUCCAUUGUUGUUGACACUUUGAUGAUGCCAUAAAUUUAGAUUGUGCCGAUCAGUUAGGUGUGGAUUUUAAUACUUGAGAGUGCCUUUGUGCCACUCAAUAUCUUCACUCUGCCUGCAAUCAUCAUUGCAUGCUCGGUUGAAGUAUUAAGGUUUUCGAAGGCCAAGAUGUUCUGCCCAAAUCUAAGCGCGCAACUCAUAUUCACAUCUCAUGAGGACUGAGGAUAGUGGGAAGUCAGUAUCAACCUGCAUUUUUCUCCGUCUAAUAAGGAAGUCAUGCUGAGCAUUACCCCAGAGCAUUUUUGAGAGAAGUUGCAGAGGUUGAUAAUGGAGGUUAACCUCCCAACAUCUUCUCGGAAGACUGCCGUGAGGAAUGCUGCAUUUUCAGUCGUAACAGAAAUCCUUCAACAUGCUCCCGGGGUUAAUGUUUCUUAGAUGAAGUCGGUGCUUGGAAGGUAUUACGACGAGAAAGGAGGAGAUCGUGUUCACCUUGACUCUGCCAAGAAAGCCAUCGAAAUCAUGACAAUGGCUUGCAAGAUAGAACUGCCGUCAAUGCUCCAAGCAACGAGACUGAUCGAUUGGCCUUGCUCAAAUUCAAAGAAUCAACUGACGACCCCCAUGGAAUCUCGGGCUCAUGGAACGCUUCCAUCCACUUCUGCAACUGGCAUGGAAUCACAAGCAGCCGCCACCGUCAAAGAGUCACAGCCUUGGUCCUAGAAGGCCAGAAAUUGCUUGGAUCCAUAUUACCUUACAUUGGCAACUUCGCAUUUCUCAGGUUCAUAAAUCUAAGAAAUAACAGCUACGACAAUAAAAUUCCACAGGAAGUUAGCAAUUUGUUUCGACUGCUCGAAAUUAAUUGGGAGGGGAAAUCCCAUCCAACUUGGCCAACUGCUUGAAACUCAAGUUCAUUAAUAUCUCAGGGAAUAAAUUUGUUGGAAAAAUUCCCACGGAGCUUGGCUCUUUGACGAAGCUUGGAUCACUCCAAAUUGCUGCAAACAGUCUGACAGGAGGGAUCCCAUCUUCCUUGGGAAAUCUUUCAUCGCACAGUCACUUUCACAGCGGCUUGUUGGUCUUUCCUCCCUAUCAGUGCUAGUCAACUUGUCCCAAAACUCGUUGAAUGGCAACCUUCGCCUGUUCUUCUCGACAAUGACAUGGUUGGCCAUUUUGGUUUAGCAAGGCUUCUGUCACAAUGGGAAUAAAGGGAUCUAUUGGCUACGCCGCUCCAGCAUGUACUUUACUUUGAUCAUGCCCAUGGAGACGCCAUUGCCAUGAUCUAGGAGAGCCUAUUGGAUUGGAAUUGUUGCUGUGCAAUGGGACCAGCUCCAAGUUAUAAACGGCCACGAUAUUACCAUUCCCAGCAAGUGCUAAACAUUAUACUGAGUUCAGUGAUAAUGAAGGAACUUAUACUAUCACUAGCAAUGCUUAUCUCACCAAAUCAGCCUAGCACUAUCUGGCACCCUUAGAAGCAAUCGAUCCCCUUUUCAGUUGUGGAUUUGAGGACAAGUUUGUGCAGAAAUUAUCCUAUACCAAAUCAGGCUA